rnacentral:rRNA from 1 species
CCCUUCGGAACACAAUACCCUCGGGAAACUGAGGCUAAUAGUGUAUACCACAGUCCACCUGGAAUGAGGACUGUGCCAAACGCUCCGGCGCCGAAGGAUGUGGCUGCGGCCGAUUAGGUAGACGGUGGGGUAACGGCCCACCGUGCCAAUAAUCGGUACGGGUCAUGAGAGUGAGAACCCGGAGACGGAAUCUGAGACAAGAUUCCGGGCCCUACGGGGCGCAGCAGGCGCGAAACCUUUACACUGCACGACAGUGCGAUAAGGGAAUCCCAAGUGCGUAGGCAUAGAGCCUACGCUUUUGUCCACCCUAGGGCGGUGGACGAAUAAGGGCUGGGCAAGACCGGUGCCAGCCGCCGCGGUAAUACCGGCAGCCCAAGUGAUGGCCGAUUUUAUUGGGCCUAAAGCGUCCGUAGCUGGCCGCACAAGUCCAUCGGAAAAUCCACCCGCUCAACGGGUGGGCGUCCGGUGGAAACUGUGUGGCUUGGGACCGGAAGGCGCGACGGGUACGUCCGGGGUAGGAGUGAAAUCCCGUAAUCCUGGACGGACCGCCGAUGGCGAAAGCACGUCGCGAGAACGGAUCCGACAGUGAGGGACGAAAGCUAGGGUCUCGAACCGGAUUAGAUACCCGGGUAGUCCUAGCCGUAAACAAUGCCUGCUAGGUGUGGCUCCCAC